UCCUCGGCGCCCCCUCGCCCGCCUCCUCCUCCUCCUCCUCCGGCAUCUCUUUCCUUCCCUGCGUUCGCAUUUCCUGCCUCCGCGGAAUCGAGCCCCCCUUCCUCUGCGACGACGCCGCAACCCAGCUCGCCGCUGCGUCAUCUCAUUCCUUCCCCACAUUCGGAUUUCCUGCCUCAACGCCAUCGAGGCCUCCCUUCUCCGGUCCUCUGCGACGACGCUGGAUCUCCGCCCACAUGGGGAACGACACGCCCGCUGCCGCCCUGUGCGGCCUCACACCGGAGGAGCUCAUGACGGAGCAGCAGCGGAGCGGCACUGUCGGGGAGCCCCCGCGGGAGCGGCUCGAGGACGAACUCCUCCAAGAGCAGGAAUCCUAUUGGCCAUGCGAUGGCUGAUGGGGGCGAACACCGCCGCUGCAUCGACAUCCGACGACCGGGGGGCACUGAUGCUACCACGUCCCUGACGAGCGGGCUGCCAUAGGGGUGGGCAAUGGCACAAGAAGCCUACAGCGACGACAACUGCAAGAUUUCUAAGCUGGUCCUGCCAUUGAAGAUUCUCUGCCUGCGUCAAAUCAUUGUGUUCUUUGGAGAUCUUUACCUCCCAAAUCCUUCCCUGGUUGAAGGAUUGAUCUUGGUUUUGCUUCAUAGUGCAGCUGCCGGUAGUUAGAGGUUAGUGUCAGGUCUCAGAACUUGGAGAACUCCUGAAAGUUGGUAUGAUCUCAACUCCUACCGGUGUCUAUCAGUUCGUGUCUAAUAGCUCCUAGGAGGACAUGAUGAAACCUUUUCAUUUUCUGAUUUUCUUGCAGCUGCCCUAGAGCAUGCAUCGCACUCUGUCUUGCUGUUGCUUUGGCCUAAUAUAGUCACACCUCAUCUGAAUAUCUGAUCACAUUAUUUACAUGCUUGCAUUCACAUGUGCAGAUACAUAUGUGAAACAGAAACCAUCGGAGAUGUACAAUUUUAAAACUUUGAAAUGGCACAUGCUGAUGCAGGUUAAUUCCGAUGAUCCUAUCCAUUAGAAUUGACAUACAUUUGUAUUUAUGAUCUUAUCUGUUACAAAGAAGUUUGUGAUUAUUUUUUUAUUCUGAAAAAAAAGAAGAUCCUAUUGCUUUUUGGAAACUACGGUUAGGUGACUUUACUGCAAGUGAUAUACAACCUUUCGUUUUAUCUCCUAGAUUGGAGCUUUAUUUAACAAAAAUGAUGGUCAUGUCAAUAAUAAGAAAGCAAGCCUAGACCAAGCCUGCAGUGGGAUGGAUAUAUGGAUAGGUAGGUUUUAGAGAUUAAUCAUUUCUAUGCAUAGCCAUUUUGUAUCUGAUCACAGGUGCAGAAGACUUCUUAGUACUUGCCAAUAUGAUGUUCACAAAUAAAUUCAGAGUUUGGUUAAUCAUAGUUUAGGUUCUAAUAAAGCUACAGUCCUGCCCCAAGCAUGCAUUAGUCACUUCACUUAUAUAUCUAUAAUGGUCCUUAUGGCUGCACAACAUAAAUUUGGCAUCCCUACUUAGACACAAGUUUAAGUCCUUGAUGACUUCUACAUUUUUUGAUAUCUAGAGGUCAUAUCUAGAGGCGACGACUACUAUUGCUGCUGCACAAACAGCCUGUGGCUAUGUCCUUCUGUUCAAUACGACAUGUCAUAGUACAACAAAUAAUUUGACACUAUUGCUCUUAAUAUUUGAGUUUGGAAUGUGGAAGUGUGUUCUACUUUUUUUUGGCAAAAUAGAUUUACUGCAUUCUUUCUAGAAUGCGGCAUCUCAGUUCACCUAACACUUCUUGAAAUAUAUUAAUUAUUAUUUAAAUAAAAUGAUAUGGUGGAUAAAUAUUAAAUAUAAAUGACGUGCUGUCCAGCAUGUAUUUGUACAUAUAUUUGUAAAAAUUAGGAGCUUGAGAAGAAAGAAAAUCUGCAGCAAGCUGCAGUUUUGUGCUCAGAGAUAGAGAUGACAGUGGCCUAGGUCGUUGCGUGUGUGUGUAUAGAUAGCAGCAGGGGAAGAUGAGAUGUGUUAGCUGCUGCCAUUGUAGGAUCAUGGGAGCAUGGGGUGUGGCUUCUUGCUGCUGCAAGAGUUGUGCUAUGUACUACUGGAACUUUUUGCUGCAUAACAACAAUGUCCUUCUAAAAGGUAGGGAACAUUAAAUUUGUGUGAUAUAUUUCUUUGAUGAUUGCUGGUGUGUUUCCCAGUAGAAUGCAUAGGAUAUCCAAACACAUUUAGAUGUCAUGUCAUCAGUGCUGAACAACUAUCUAAAUUGUCAAUAGCAAUUGACAAAUUAGGAAACCAGUAAAGUACUUCGAGUAUGAUUGAGUUGUGUAGGACCUUGAUUUUUUAGGCUGUGUGCUCUAUUAAUAAUAUGCAAUUUAUAAUGUGUACACUGAAUCAACAUACUGUGACUGAAUGGUUUCUACUAUUUUGGUCAGCUGUCCAUUAUUUGUCCUGUCUUCAGAAAUUUGGUAUAUUAGUUGCAGACUAUAUGAAAUAAUGCCUUAGAUAAGCUGGGAGUUGUUUAGCCAAUUCAAUUAACAUGUGAAUUAUUGAACUGCAUAAUUUAUCUGCCUUUUGAAAUCUUCCGUUUGUGUUUGCAAGCUGACACCACUCACAUAUAUUUCAUCAUCAGUAAGUUAUUUCAGUUGCUCCACCAUCUCUCCAGUUACCUAAUAUCAAUUGUAUUUGUCAUCAUUACACAAUUUAAUACAUCUCUGAUAAGCAUCAAGGCUGUCGCUUGCCAUCAAGGCGUUGGUUACCAGCUGCAGUCCUACAAAUAUUGGCACUCCAUUUGCAGGGAGGAGUCACCUCAGUUAUUUUCAUGUUGUGUGGGAUGAGAAAAAAAUUACCAUUCAUUGACGAUGAUUAUAAAGCUCAGCUAUGAUGUUCUAUAGGUAUGUACAAACCUUGAGAAGAUGAGAGAGAAGAUGGUGAAGGAGGGACAGGAGGUGAGCUAUCACAUGUGGGCCGAGGCAGAUGGAGUUGAUGAGGCAGAGCUGAAGAGCAAGCUGCAAGCAGGUUACUGCUGAGAGAGGCUGCUGGUGCUUGUUCCAUUUGGUUUAGUAGUUAUAGAUCAUUUUUUUUGGUGUAUGUCCAACAUCUGGUCCUUAAUUCUCGAGACAUCCUCACUACAGUAACAAUCUGGUUGUUAAAAAAACUAAUCAAUAUCAAUCUUUAUCUUUGAGAAGUUUUGUAGACAA